GAUGAACGCUGGCGGCGUGCCCAAUACAUGCAAGUCGAGCGAACAGACGAGGAGCUUGCUCCUCUGACGUUAGCGGCGGACGGGUGAGUAACACGUGGAUAACCUACCUAUAAGACUGGGAUAACUUCGGGAAACCGGAGCUAAUACCGGAUAAUAUAUUGAACCGCAUGGUUCAAUAGUGAAAGACGGUUUUGCUGUCACUUAUAGAUGGAUCCGCGCCGCAUUAGCUAGUUGGUAAGGUAACGGCUUACCAAGGCAACGAUGCGUAGCCGACCUGAGAGGGUGAUCGGCCACACUGGAACUGAGACACGGUCCAGACUCCUACGGGAGGCAGCAGUAGGGAAUCUUCCGCAAUGGGCGAAAGCCUGACGGAGCAACGCCGCGUGAGUGAUGAAGGUCUUCGGAUCGUAAAACUCUGUUAUUAGGGAAGAACAAAUGUGUAAGUAACUAUGCACGUCUUGACGGUACCUAAUCAGAAAGCCACGGCUAACUACGU
rnacentral:rRNA from 1 species